GGACGUGAGGAUGAUCUGGCUGUAACACGUAUCACCCUAUUGAUCACCAAGCUUGAAUCAGCUGAUCUGGCUGGCUAGGUGGGUGUCCCCUUCCUCUCUCACCACCCAACUCUAUGAGCUUUCAAAGGGGGUGAACUUCCCUGACAGAGGAGGGGCGUUCUUACAUCAAGGAUAGAUGAAUAACUGCAUGCCAGUGCUGGAACCUUGAAACCUUGAAUACUUCCAAUUUACCGAAAAAGCUGGCUUACUGGGACUGGAGAGGUGGCUUAGUGGUUAAGCGCUUGCCUGUGAAGCCUCAGGACCCCGGUUGGAGGCUCGCUUCUCCAG
rnacentral:sRNA from 1 species